AUGAACGCUGGCGGCGUGCCUAAUACCUGCAAGUCGAGCGAACAGACGAGGAGCUUGCUCCUCUGACGUUAGCGGCGGACGGGUGAGUAACACGUGGAUAACCUACCUAUAAGACUGGGAUAACUUCGGGAAACCGGAGCUAAUACCGGAUAAUAUAUUGAACCGCAUGGUUCAAUAGUGAAAGACGGUUUUGCUGUCACUUAUAGAUGGAUCCGCGCCGCAUUAGCUAGUUGGUAAGGUAACGGCUUACCAAGGCAACGAUGCGUAGCCGACCUGAGAGGGUGAUCAGCCACACUGGAACUGAGACACGGUCCAGACUCCUACGGGAGGCAGCAGUAGGGAAUCUUCCGCAAUGGGCGAAAGCCUGACGGAGCAACGCCGCGUGAGUGAUGAAGGUCUUCGGAUCGUAAAACUCUGUUAUUAGGGAAGAACAAAUGUGUAAGUAACUAUGCACGUCUUGACGGUACCUAAUCAGAAAGCCACGGCUAACUACGUG
rnacentral:rRNA from 1 species